CUUUGAGGCAGGCAAUGCCUCAAGGCGGAAGGAG
rnacentral:ncRNA from 1 species